UCUCUCUGACAAACGGGAUGUAUCCUCAC
rnacentral:piRNA from 1 species